AUGAGCGCAGCCUCUCCCUGAAAAACACAAAAAACUCGGAUAGGAUUUUUGAGAACCAAUUUCGAAGAGCAGCCAUUUUUUAAGCUCCAAGAAAAGAGCUUCAGCCGCAAAGGAGACACCCAACAACAGAGGCGAAAGAACGGAGUAGCUAACACAAAAAAAGGGUCUCUCUUCGUUCUCACCCUCAAAACUCGGCUCCACCUCCAACACCCAUUGAUGCUCUUUCUCCCCUUCAACAAAGCUACCUGAAAACUCCAUUUCAGCCAUGGAAGUGAGCUGAGAAAUUCCUCAGAAACCAGCUGAAAACUCCAUUAAAAUCAGUGGCAAAAACAGUCCAAAUCUCAUCCAUUAAAAAUGUCCAAGCCAAGUCGAGUUCGUGAGGUCGCCGGAGAGGUUCCGACCGCGGUCCAGCCUUCCAUCUAAAGUUUCGUCGCUAGUUUUGGGUUUCCAUCUCAAUCCCCCUAACUAUUUGGUGUAAGAUUUGAUCUGGAGAUUCUAUUUAAUACAUUGGAAAGGAAUUCUUUUUGUGUUGCGCAUGAUUCGUUGAUGAAUUGAGUAACAUGGUUGAUCGGAAGUUGGACCUGAGUAAUUGGCGUCUGCAGAAUUGAGUUUUUCUGUAAGGAUAUACGCAUAUGAUAUACUUUGGCAUGUUGGGACAAGUUCCAGAUUCUUGAGUUGAUACUUGAAAUAUGUAUAAAGUAUGCCUUACGAGAUUGUUGAUAUGAUAUGAACUUAUCCUAUUUGAGAUUACUAUAGUAAUUUUUUUUUUCCUAUUUCAUUUAGUUACAUUAAGCUGAUGUUAACUGCAUAUUACCAUAACAUGUAUAAAGUAUGUCUUACAUGAUUAAAA